rnacentral:snRNA from 1 species
AUACUUGCCUGACAAGGGAGAGCACAGUCAGGAAGAUGGGUUUCUCAUGGGGUUUCAUCUGUUACCACGUGGGUGUAUGUGACCCAUGAGGUUUAGCCAGAAGUAGGAAACUGCAUAAUUUUUGGGUGGGGAGCACAUUCACACUUGCCUGUGAAAAAGAAAACCACAGAUAAACUGCUCCCA